UAUUAUACUAGCAAGUAUUUUGAACCUGAAUUAUUAAUAGAUAUACUCUUUAAAUUUGAAGAAUUUGGCGGUGAUUUAGUCUUGUUAGAGGAACCUGUUUUUGAAUCGAUACACCACGUGGAAUCUUGCUCAUUUUAUUAUAGCUUAUAUACCGUCAUUAUCAGAUAAUUUUAAAAAAAUUAAUUAUUAAAAUUUAAAUAACUAAAUUAAAUUAGAUCAAGGUGUAGCUUAUAGGUGAGUUAAAAUGGGUUACAAUAAAAUUUAUUUAUUACGGAGUAAUGUAAAAGAAAUGUUAAUAUGAAGGAGGAUUUAAUUGUAAUGGGAGUUUAAUAAGCUUAAAAGAUAAAAGCUCUAAAUCAU
rnacentral:rRNA from 1 species